rnacentral:rRNA from 1 species
UUGAACUCGGCAAAAUGCCCCCGUAACUUCGGGAGAAGGGGGGCCUGAGGCGUGAAGGGAUUUACUCCUGGAGCGUUUGAAGGCCGCAGAGACCAGUGGGAAGCGACUGUUUACUAAAAACACAGGUCCGUGCUAAGUCGCAAGACGAUGUAUACGGACUGACGCCUGCCCGGUGCUGGAAGGUUAAGAGGAGAGGUUAGCUUCGGCGAAGCUUCGAAUUUAAGCCCCAGUAAACGGCGGUGGUAACUAUAACCAUCCUAAGGUAGCGAAAUUCCUUGUCGGGUAAGUUCCGACCUGCACGAAUGGCGUAACGACUUCCCAGCUGUCUCAACCGCGAACUCGGCGAAAUUGCACUACGAGUAAAGAUGCUCGUUACGCGCAGCAGGACGGAAAGACCCCGUGACCUUUACUACAGCUUGGUAUUGGUGUUCGGUGUGGCUUGUGUAGGAUAGGUGGGAGACUUUGAAGCGGGCACGCCAGUGUUCGUGGAGUCAUUGUUGAAAUACCACUCUGGUCACUCUGGAUGUCUAACUUCGAACCGUAAUCCGGUUCAGGAACAGUGCCUGGUGGGUAGUUUAACUGGGGCGGUUGCCUCCCAAAAAGUAACGGAGGCGCCCAAAGGUUCCCUCAACCUGGUUGGCAAUCAGGUGUCGAGUGUAAGUGCACAAGGGAGCUUGACUGUGAGACCGACGGGUCGAGCAGGGACGAAAGUCGGGACUAGUGAUCCGGCAGUGGCUUGUGGAAGCGCUGUCGCUCAACGGAUAAAAGGUACCUCGGGGAUAACAGGCUGAUCUUGCCCAAGAGUCCAUAUCGACGGCAUGGUUUGGCACCUCGAUGUCGGCUCGUCGCAUCCUGGGGCUGGAGUAGGUCCCAAGGGUUGGGCUGUUCGCCCAUUAAAGCGGUACGCGAGCUGGGUUUAGAACGUCGUGAGACAGUUCGGUCCCUAUCCGCUGCGCGCGUAGGAAAUUUGAGAAGAUCUGUCCCUUACGAGAGGACCGGGACGGACGAACCUCUGGUGUGUCAGUUGUUCCGCCAGGAGCACCGCUGAUUAGCUACGUUCGGAACGGAUAACCGCUGAAAGCAUCUAAGCGGGAAGCCGGCUUCAAGAUGAGAUUUCCAUCCCUUCGGGGGAGAGGCUCCCAGCUAGACGACUGGGUUGAUAGGCCGGAUGUGGAAGUGGGGACUAAAGACCCAUGGAGCUGACCGGUACUAAUAAGCCGAUGACUUGAUA